UUUUCUUCAGUUAAUUCCAGGAUUCCUUGCUAGAGGAAUUGUUUUCCUCCCUGAUUCCAACUUUAUGAAUACUCAAGCAACUCUGAAAGUGAAACUCCACUCUUCUACUCUCCCCCAACAAUCUGCCCAUUCCCAAACAGAAACACAGGGGUCAGCUGAGCCUAAAGAUAAGCUCAUCUUGUCCACUUGCAGAGAGAUGCUGCAAGGGCAAUACCGUGAUGUGAAAGAGUUAAGGGGUAAAAUCACAGAAGAACCAGCCUGUUCCUGGAGGGAGUGUUCCAAGGAAAAGAUUCUGAUGCCUAAGGAUGCACAAACAUCAGAAGUGCAAGGUCUUCAAUUCUUGUGACUCAGCACAGGUCUCCUAAAGGGAUUUUGAAACUCCACUGGACAUCACCAGCUGAACAUUGGCCAGAAUAUCUAAACCCUCUAAAUGACUCACAGGUCUUUGGUGAGAGUGGUGGCCUUAUCAACAGGACAUCACUUCUCUGCAGUGAAGGCAUUUGCAUGCCUUGGAAGUAGAUCAGUCCUGUUAUUUCCAGUUCUUUUCCUCAGCACUUUACAGUCAGGAGAUAUGUAGCAGCAUAUUCUCAAAUUCC